GACGAACGCUGGCGGCGUGCUUAACACAUGCAAGUCGUACGGUAAGGCCCUUUCGGGGGUACACGAGUGGCGAACGGGUGAGUAACACGUGAGUAACCUGCCCACAACUUUGGGAUAACGCUAGGAAACUGGUGCUAAUACUGGAUAUGUGCUCCUGCUGCAUGGUGGGGGUUGGAAAGCUCCGGCGGUUGUGGAUGGACUCGCGGCCUAUCAGCUUGUUGGUGGGGUAGUGGCCUACCAAGGCGGCGACGGGUAGCCGGCCUGAGAGGGUGACCGGCCACAUUGGGACUGAGAUACGGCCCAGACGCCUACGGGAGGCAGCAGUGGGGAAUAUUGCACAAGGGGCGCAAGCCUGAUGCAGCAACGCCGCGGGCGGGAUGACGGCCUUCGGGUUGGAAACCGCUUUCAGCAGGGACGAAGCUUUUUGUGACGGUACCUGCAGAAGAAGCGCCGGCUAACUACGUG
rnacentral:rRNA from 1 species